rnacentral:rRNA from 1 species
CCUACGGGAGGCAGCAGUGGGGAAUAUUGCACAAUGGGGGAAACCCUGAUGCAGCGACGCCGCGUGAGUGAAGAAGUAUUUCGGUAUGUAAAGCUCUGUCAGCAGGGAAGAAAGAAAUGACGGUACAUGACCAAGAAGCCCCGGCUAACUACGUGCCAGCAGCCGCGGUAAUACGUAGGGGGCAAGCGUUAUCCGGAAUUACUGGGUGUAAAGGGAGCGUAGACGGUGAUGCAAGUCUGGAGUGAAAGGCGGGGGCCCAACCUCCGGACUGCUCUGGAAACUGUGUAACUUGAGUGCAGGAGAGGUAAGCGGAAUUCCUGGUGUAGGGGUGAAAUGCGUAGAUAUUAGGAGGAACACCAGUGGCGAAGGCGACUUACUGGACUGUAACUGACGUUGAGGCGCGAAAGCGUGGGGAGCAAACAGGAUUAGAUACCCGUGUAGUC